rnacentral:rRNA from 1 species
ACACUCCUGCGGGAGGCAGCAGUGGGGAAUAUUGGACAAUGGGCGCAAGCCUGAUCCAGCCAUGCCGCGUGAGUGAUGAAGGCCCUAGGGUUGUAAAGCUCUUUCACCGGUGAAGAUAAUGACGGUAACCGGAGAAGAAGCCCCGACUAACUUCGUGCCAGCAGCCGCGGUAAUACGAAGGGGGCUAGCGUUGUUCGGAUUUACUGGGCGUAAAGCGCACGUAGGCGGACUAUUAAGUCAGGGGUGAAAUCCCGGGGCUCAACCCCGGAACUGCCUUUGAUACUGGUAGUCUUGAGUUCGAGAGAGGUGAGUGGAAUUCCGAGUGUAGAGGUGAAAUUCGUAGAUAUUCGGAGGAACACCAGUGGCGAAGGCGGCUCACUGGCUCGAUACUGACGCUGAGGUGCGAAAGCGUGGGGAGCAAACAGGAUUAGAAACCCCUGUAGUCCCAUGAU